rnacentral:sRNA from 1 species
GUUUCAGUCUUCUGUUUCCAUCACCCACACAGGCAUAUUCAAGAGUUCCUGCUACAUCGAUGUACGCUGGUUUCCCUUUGAUGUGCAGCACUGCAAACUGAAGUUUGGGUCCUGGUCUUACGGAGGCUGGUCCUUGGAUCUGCAGAUGCAGGAGGCAGAUAUCAGUGGCUAUAUCCCCAAUGGAGAAUGGGACCUAGAAUCCCCGGCAAGAGGAGUGAAAGGUUCUAUGAGUGCUGCAAAGAGCCCUACCCCGAUGUCACCUUCACAGUGACCAUGCGCCGCAGGACGCUCUACUAUGGCCUCAACCUGCUGAUCCCCUGUGUGCUCAUCUCCGCCCUCGCCCUGCUGGUGUUCCUGCUUCCUGCAGAUUCCGGGGAGAAGAUUUCCCUGGGGAUAACAGUCUUACUCUCUCUUACUGUCUUCAUGCUGCUCGUGGCUGAGAUCAUGCCCGCAACAUCCGAUUCGGUACCAUUGAUAGCCCAGUACUUCGCCAGCACCAUGAUCAUCGUGGGCCUCUCGGUGGU